rnacentral:rRNA from 1 species
UGGGGAAUUUUGGACAAUGGGCGCAAGCCUGAUCCAGCCAUUCCGCGUGCAGGAUGAAGGCCCUCGGGUUGUAAACUGCUUUUGUACGGAACGAAAAGGCUUCCUCCAAUACAGGGGGCUCAUGACGGUACCUGGUGAAUAAGCCACGGCUAACUACGUGCCAGCAGCCGCGGUAAUACGUAGGUGGCAAGCGUUGUCCGGAUUUAUUGGGUUUAAAGGGUGCGUAGGUGGUUCCAUAAGUCAGUGGUGAAAUACGGCAGCUUAACUGUCGAGGUGCCAUUGAUACUGCGGAACUUGAGUACAGACGAGGUAGGCGGAAUUGACGGUGUAGCGGUGAAAUGCUUAGAUAUCGUCAAGAACACCGAUAGCGAAGGCAGCUUACUAGACUGUAACUGACACUGAGGCACGAAAGUGUGGGGAUCAAA